rnacentral:tRNA from 1 species
UAUCCUUUUUUUAGAA